rnacentral:rRNA from 1 species
AUUGAACGCUGGCGGCAGGCCUAACACAGUGCAAGUCGAGCGGCAGCGACAACAUUGAAUCUUCGGAGGAUUUGUUGGGCGGCGAGCGGCGGACGGGUGAGUAAUGCCUAGGAAAUUGCCCUGAUGUGGGGGAUAACCAUUGGAAACGAUGGCUAAUACCGCAUGAUGCCUACGGGCCAAAGAGGGGGACCUUCGGGCCUCUCGCGUCAGGAUAUGCCUAGGUGGGAUUAGCUAGUUGGUGAGGUAAGGGCUCACCAAGGCGACGAUCCCUAGCUGGUCUGAGAGGAUGAUCAGCCACACUGGAACUGAGACACGGUCCAGACUCCUACGGGAGGCAGCAGUGGGGAAUAUUGCACAAUGGGCGCAAGCCUGAUGCAGCCAUGCCGCGUGUGUGAAGAAGGCCUUCGGGUUGUAAAGCACUUUCAGUAGGGAGGAAGGUUCAUGCGUUAAUAGCGUAUGGAUUUGACGUUACCUACAGAAGAAGCACCGGCUAACUCCGUGCCAGCAGCCGCGGUAAUACGGAGGGUGCGAGCGUUAAUCGGAAUUACUGGGCGUAAAGCGCAUGCAGGUGGUUUGUUAAGUCAGAUGUGAAAGCCCGGGGCUCAACCUCGGAAUUGCAUUUGAAACUGGCAGACUAGAGUACUGUAGAGGGGGGUAGAAUUUCAGGUGUAGCGGUGAAAUGCGUAGAGAUCUGAAGGAAUACCGGUGGCGAAGGCGGCCCCCUGGACAGAUACUGACACUCAGAUGCGAAAGCGUGCGGGAGCAAACAGGAUUAGAUACCCUGGUA